rnacentral:rRNA from 1 species
AACGAACGCUGGCGGCAGGCCUAAAACAUGCAAGUCGAACGCCCCGCAAGGGGAGUGGCGCACGGGUGAGUAACGCGUGGGAACGUGCCCUUCAGUACGGGACAACGUCGGGAAACUGACGCUAAUACCGUAUAAUAUCUCCGGAUCAAAGAUUUAUCGCUGAGGGAGCGGCCCGCGUCUGAUUAGCUAGUUGGUGAGGUAAUGGCUCACCAAGGCUACGAUCAGUAGCUGGUCUGAGAGGAUGAUCAGCCACACUGGGACUGAGACACGGCCCAGACUCCUACGGGAGGCAGCAGUUAGGAAUAUUGGACAAUGGGCGAAAGCCUGAUCCAGCCAUGCCGCGUGUGUGAUGAAGGCCCUAGGGUUGUAAAGCACUUUCGUCGGGGAUGAUAAUGACAGUACCCGAAGAAGAAGCCACGGCUAAAUUCGUGCCAGCCGCCGCCGUAAGAC